CCUACGGGUGGCAGCAGUGGGGAAUAUUGGACAAUGGGCGAAAGCCUGAUCCAGCCAUGCCGCGUGUGUGAAGAAGGCCUUCGGGUUGUAAAGCACUUUCAGUGGGGAAGAAAGCCUUGGGGCUAAUACCCUCGAGGAAGGACAUCACCCACAGAAGAAGCACCGGCUAACUCCGUGCCAGCAGCCGCGGUAAUACGGAGGGUGCGAGCGUUAAUCGGAAUUACUGGGCGUAAAGCGCGCGUAGGCGGUCUGAUAAGCCGGUUGUGAAAGCCCCGGGCUCAACCUGGGAACGGCAUCCGAAACUGUCAGGCUAGAGUGCAGGAGAGGAAGGUAGAAUUCCCGGUGUAGCGGUGAAAUGCGUAGAGAUCGGGAGGAAUACCAGUGGCGAAGGCAGCCUUCUGGACUGACACUGACGCUGAGGUGCGAAAGCGUGGGUAGCAAACAGGAUUAGAUACCCCAGUAGUC
rnacentral:rRNA from 1 species